GGUUGUGGCUCAGUGGUACAGCGCUUGCCUAGCAUGCACGAGGCGCUGGGUUUGAUUCCUGGUCACCA
rnacentral:tRNA from 1 species